UCUGUUGUUAGCCUGCGACAGCUUUCAAGGUUGCUUAUGAAAGUUUAGGUCUGGAUGCAUCUGGUGGAAAAUCCGUUCAUUUUCAGAAGAUUUGGCACCUUAUUCAGGCAUUAACUGGUGAAGACUCGUCUGUUCCAAAAAGCGUGUCAAAAAAGAUGUCUUUAAUUAUUGGUGCAAGGCGCCAUCUUGAGCGGGGUCAUGAAAAAUAUGUAAUGGAUACUAUCCAAAGUCAUCCUGCCCAGGGAACUUGCUAUUUUGAUGUUCACGAUUACUCUCAUUAUAGGCUGCACUUGGUGGGGUUGUUGGAAACAUGCAAAGAAUUCGUGCAUUCCUCCAGAUUCGUUUGAGGGACUAUGGAGUUCUAGAGUUUGAUGCAGGUGAUUCUUGAAGGCAGCCUCCUAUUGAUACAACUAGGCAGCAGAUAUACUUUUGCCUGAGAACUGGGUAUUAUGAUGAAGCAAGA